CAAAGCCCAAACUGCCAUCUGUCGCGGAGUCUUUUCCAGUUUCCAGAAACAUCUUCCUUUUCUGCACCUCGGAGAGCAUUCGAGCCCCCCGGAAUUUUUCCCGAGAGGAUCCUCCGAGUCACGGCAACAGGAGGACACACGGAGCCACCAGCAGCCUGGGGUUCCAUCCUGGGGGUCAGGAACUCCGUGUGGCCGCUCAGACCCAACUCUCCCGGGAAGUCGAGGGCUUCGGACUGGUCUUCUAGGGAGGUCGAGCGUGGAGGGGGAUGUUGGCAAUGGCUCUGCCACUCACGUGCUGUGCAUCCCUGGGUGGUGGAGCCUCAGAAUCCAAGAAAUGGACAAGAAAUGGACACUCAUCGCUGCAGGAGCAGGAUCAGGCCUCCUGCUGUGCUCUGCAGGGACCAGGCUCAUUCGUUCAUUUUACUCUUUUCCGGCUCUCAGCAAGCCCACAACUCUCUCCUGGCUUUCAUUUUCAUCCAUUUAAAUUGGAAAAAAAUUAAAAACAAAUGAAACCCACUUAAGAGAAUGCCUUGAGAGGUGCAGACCCAGGCACAGCACAGGGCGCUCGCUAAGUACGAGUUUCCAGCACAAGGAGCCACUGAACCAUAGAAAAUACUAAAUAAAUUGGUGCAAAUGUCCUUACCAAAAAA